GACUCUCGGCAAUGGAUAUCUCGGCUCUCGCAUCGAUGAAGAACAUAAUGAAAUGCGAUACUUGGUAUGAAUUGCAGAAUCCCGUGAACCAUUGAGUUUUUGAACGCAAGUUAUGCCUCAAGCCUUCGGGCCAAGGACACGCUUUCCUAGACGUCA